UCAGUACUUGGAUGUUUGGCUACCC
rnacentral:piRNA from 1 species